rnacentral:rRNA from 1 species
AAGACCUUGCGCUUUUGGAGCGGCCGAUGCCUGAUUAGCUGGUUGGUGGGGUAAUGGCCUACCAAAGCUUCGAUCAGUAGCUGGUCUGAGAGGACGGCCAGCCACACUGGGACUGAGACACGGCCCAGACUCCUACGGGAGGCAGCAGUGGGGAAUUUUGGACAAUGGGGGAAACCCUGAUCCAGCCAUGCCGCGUGAGUGAAGAAGGCCUUCGGGUUGUAAAGCUCUUUCAGCCGGAACGAAACGGUUACGGAUAAUACCCGUGACUACUGACGGUACCGGAAGAAGAAGCACCGGCUAACUACGUGCCAGCAGCCGCGGUAAUACGUAGGGUGCGAGCGUUAAUCGGAAUUACUGGGCGUAAAGCGUGCGCAGGUGGUUUUGUAAGUCAGAUGUGAAAGCCCCGGGCUCAACCUGGGAACU